rnacentral:rRNA from 1 species
AGAGUUUGAUCCUGGCUCAGGAUGAACGCUAGCUACAGGCUUAACACAUGCAAGUCGAGGGGAAACGGAUACUGGAAGCUUGCUUCCGAUAGGCGUCGACCGGCGCACGGGUGAGUAACGCGUAUCCAACCUGCCCACCACUUGGGGAUAACCUUGCGAAAGUAAGACUAAUACCCAAUGAUAUCUCUAGAAGACAUCUGAAAGAGAUUAAAGAUUUAUCGGUGAUGGAUGGGGAUGCGUCUGAUUAGCUUGUUGGCGGGGUAACGGCCCACCAAGGCAACGAUCAGUAGGGGUUCUGAGAGGAAGGUCCCCCACAUUGGAACUGAGACACGGUUCAAACUCCUACGGGAGGCAGCA